AUUCAUGUCCGCCGCUUCGUUGCUCUCCAGAGCUCCUCUCCUCUCCCCUUCCAUUUUUCUUUUCUUUUCUUUUCUUUGUUCCUUUGUUCCUUUUUGUUGUUUUUAUUUGGUCCUUUUUUCUCUGUUUUUCCUUCCCGUUUCCCCCCUCCCCCCUUUUUCCUUUCUUCUCUUUCCUUUUUUUUCAAUUAUAUGAUUCUAACUGAUUUUUUUCCCUUGUUAGAAUUGGUCUGGAUAUGAAGCUACUAAACGCAUGAGACACAGAAAUCAUCUUAAUUGAUCUUGCAGGUGAAAUAUUAGAAAUCUCUGGGUUUUCAGUUCCCUCGCAGCUGAAGCGCGGCCAGUUUAUUCGAGCAAAGAGGCUAAUUUUUCCGAGAAAAGCGCAGGCGAGUCCAACGAAGGUUUCUGCAUCUUCGGAUGAUAAUGGAAGCCCUCCCAAAUCCUUUGAUUACGAUCUCAUCAUUAUUGGCGCUGGCGUCAGUGGUCAUGGAGCUGCACUGCAUGCCGUAAAAAAGGGGUAAUGCUUCGUUUAGUACCAGUCAGUCUAAGCCCAAGCUUUGGCCUUUUAGCAUAGUUCAGCUUUAGACAAUACCACUCAAGAAUGCCUCUGCCAUUUGAUUAACAAAACUACGUGUUUAUUUAUGUGGGAAGCAGAAUCGGCCACCCUUGAAGCUUUAUCAAGAUCAAAGCCUUGAAGCGUAUGACCCUGGAUACUAGAUUUUGCACUAACUGUAGCUAUCUGAUCUUUGCAUUACCUGCUGUAUAUGUAUGUCAGCUCUUGAUGCAUUAUAUCUCACGCGGAUGGUGUUAUCAUAAUAUUUUUAUUUGGUUUAAAAUCUUGUGUAACUGGAUGAGUUAUUUUGUGCCAAGAGUUUGACCAUCCCUUUUGCUACUGAUGUAUUGAGAGGAUAGAAGUAUGGCCUAUAUUAAUAAUCCUCCUCCUUUUUUGAUCAAAUGCAAUUUAUCCCACUAAGGUUGAUAUGUAAACACAGUUUCUUUUCAUUAGAUUUCUUGAAGUUAUAUGCUAAUGAAAACCUUUUUAGUUAUUGUA